rnacentral:rRNA from 1 species
AGCGAACGCUGCGGCAGGCCUAACACAUGCAAGUCGAACGAACCUUUCGGGGUUAGUGGCGGACGGGUGAGUAACACGUGGGAACGUGCCUUUAGGUUCGGAAUAACUCAGGGAAACUUGUGCUAAUACCGAAUGUGCCCUUCGGGGGAAAGAUUAAUCGCCUUUAGAGCGGCCCGCGUCUGAUUAGCUAGUUGGUUGAGGUAAUGGCUCACCAAGGCGACGAUCAGUAGCUGGUCUGAGAGGAUGAUCAGCCACAUUGGGACUGAGACACGGCCCAAACUCCUACGGGAGGCAGCAGUGGGGAAUCUUGCGCAAUGGGCGAAAGCCUGACGCAGCCAUGCCGCGUGAAUGAUGAAGGUCUUAGGAUUGUAAAAUUCUUUCACCGGGGACGAUAAUGACGGUACCCGGAGAAGAAGCCCCGGCUAACUUCGUG